rnacentral:tRNA from 1 species
UAAAAGAUAAGCUAAAUAAGCUUUUGGGCUCAUACCCCAAAGAUAGUAGAUUACUUCUUUUAA